CGAUACUUGGUGUGAAUUGCAGAAUUCAGUGAAUCAUCGAAUCUUUGRACGCACAUUGCGCCCGCCAGUAUUCUGGCGGGCAUGCCUGUUCGAGCGUCAUUACAACCCUCAGGCCCCCGGGCCUGGCGUUGGGGAUCGGCGGAGGCCCUCCGUGGGCACACGCCGUCCCCCAAAUACAGUGGCGGUCCCGCCGCAGCUUCCAUCGCGUAGUAGCUAACACCUCGCGACUGGAGAGCGGCGCGGCCACGCCGUAAAACCCCCAACUCUUCUGAAGUUGACCUCGAAUCAGGUAGGAAUACCCGCUGAACUUAAGCAUAUCAAUAAGCGGAGGAA
rnacentral:rRNA from 1 species